AACAAGGCGUACCUGCGGACCUGCGGAGGGAUCAUUACACAACAAAAUAUGAAGGCCUGGCUUCGCGGCCGGCUGAAGUAUUUUUUUUCACCCAUGUCUUUUGCGCACUUGUUGUUUCCUGGGCGGGUUCGCCCGCCACCAGGACCAAACCAUAAACCUUUUUUUUUAUGUAGUUGCAAUCAGCGUCAGUAAAAACAAUGUAAUUAUUACAACUUUUAACAAUGGAUCUCAGAUCGGAAG
rnacentral:misc_RNA from 1 species